AGAGCAAGCGGACCUCAUAAAGUGCGUCGUAGUCCGGAUUGGAGUCUGCAACUCGACUCCAUGAAGUCGGAAUCGCUAGUAAUCGUGGAUCAGAAUGCCACGGUGAAUACGUUCCCGGGCCUUGUACACACCGCCCGUCACACCAUGGGAGUGGGUUGCAAAAGAAGUAGGUAGCUUAACCUUCGGGAGGGCGCUUACCACUUUGUGAUUCAUGACUGGGGUGAAGUCGUAACAAGGUAACCGUAGGGGAACCUGCGGUUGGAUCACCUCCUUACCUUAAAGAAGC
rnacentral:rRNA from 2 species